UACGGAGGGUGCAAGCGUUAUCCGGAUUCACUGGGUUUAAAGGGUGCGUAGGUGGCUUUGUAAGUCAGUGGUGAAAGCCCGGAGCUCAACUCCGGAACUGCCAUUGAUACUGCUUAGCUUGAAUCACGUCGAGGUGGAUGGAAUAAUACAUGUAGCGGUGAAAUGCUUAGAUAUGUAUUAGAACACCGAUUGCGAAGGCAGUUCACUAGGCGUGUAUUGACACUGGGGCUCGAAAGCGUGGGGAUCAAACAGG
rnacentral:rRNA from 1 species